rnacentral:ncRNA from 2 species
ACCUUAUUAAGAGUGGUGGAGUGAAUGGGCACGAUGAAACCCGGCAACCUAAAAGGUGCUAAAUCCCACAGAGCUGCUCUGGAAGAUGAGGU